AGGUAAGCUACUAAGAGCGAAUGGUGGAUGCCUUGACUGGUAAAGGCGAUGAAGGACGUACUAGACUGCGAUAAGCUACGGGGAGCUGUCAAGAAGCUUUGAUCCGUAGAUUUCCGAAUGGGGCAACCCAAUGUAUAGAGAUAUACAUUACCUAUAUAGGAGCGAACGAGGGGAAUUGAAACAUCUUAGUACCCUCAGGAAAAGAAAUCAAUAGAGAUUGCGUCAGUAGCGGCGAGCGAAAGCGCAAGAGGGCAAACCCAGUGCUUGCACUGGGGGUUGUAGGACUGCAAUGUGCAAGAGGUAAGUUUAGCAGAACAUUCUGGAAAGUAUAACCAUAGAGGGUGAUAGUCCCGUAUGCGAAAAACAAACCUUAGCUAGCAGUAUCCUGAGUAGGGCGGGACACGAGGAAUCCUGUCUGAAUCCGGGUCGACCACGAUCCAACCCUAAAUACUAAUACCAGAUCGAUAGUGCACAAGUACCGUGAGGGAAAGGUGAAAAGAACUGAGGUGAUCAGAGUGAAAUAGAACCUGAAACCAUUUGCUUACAAUCAUUCAGAGCCCUAUGUAGCAAUACAGGGUGAUGGACUGCCUUUUGCAUAAUGAGCCUGCGAGUUGUGGUGUCUGGCAAGGUUAAGCAAACGCGAAGCCGUAGCGAAAGCGAGUCUGAAUAGGGCGCUUAGUCAGAUGCUGCAGACCCGAAACGAAGUGAUCUAUCCAUGAGCAAGUUGAAGCUAGUGUAAGAACUAGUGGAGGACUGAACCCAUAGGCGUUGAAAAGCCCCGGGAUGACUUGUGGAUAGGGGUGAAAGGCCAAUCAAACUUCGUGAUAGCUGGUUCUCUCCGAAAUAUAUUUAGGUAUAGCGUUGUGUCGUAAUAUAAGGGGGUAGAGCACUGAAUGGGCUAGGGCAUACACCAAUGUACCAAACCCUAUCAAACUCCGAAUACCUUAUAUGUAAUCACAGCAGUCAGGCGGCGAGUGAUAAAAUCCGUCGUCAAGAGG
rnacentral:rRNA from 1 species